GGGAAUACGCCGAAGCUGGAGAGUCGGGGCAGACUGUAAAUCUGUUGUCUUUGGACUGAAUAGGUUCGAUUCCUUUUAUUCCCA
rnacentral:tRNA from 1 species